rnacentral:rRNA from 1 species
GAUGAACGCUAGCGGCAGGCUUAAUACAUGCAAGUCGAACGGCAGCACAGUGUAGCAAUACAUGGGUGGCGAGUGGCGCACGGGUGCGUAACACGUAUGCAAUUUGCCCAUAACUGGGGGAUAGCCCUCCGAAAGGAGGAUUAAUACCCCAUAAUAUAGUGAAGAGGCAUCUCUUUAUUAUUAAAUCUCCGGAGGUUAUGGAUGAGCAUGCGUCUGAUUAGCUAGUUGGUGAGGUAACGGCUCACCAAGGCAACGAUCAGUAGGGGGUCUGAGAGGAUGAUCCCCCACACGGGUACUGAGACACGGACCCGACUCCUACGGGAGGCAGCAGUAAGGAAUAUUGGACAAUGGAGGCAACUCUGAUCCAGCCAUGCCGCGUGAAGGAUGAAGGCGCUACGCGUUGUAAAGCACUUUAAGCGAGGAGGAGGCUACUUUAGUUAAUACCUAGAGAUAGUGGACGUUACUCGCAGAAUAAGCACCGGCUAACUCUGUGCCAGCCGCCGCGGUAAGAC